rnacentral:rRNA from 1 species
AUUGAACGCUGGCGGCAGGCCUAACACAUGCAAGUCGAGCGAGCGGCGGACGGGUGAGGAAUGUCUGGGAAACUGCCUGAUGGAUGGGGAUAACGACUGGAAACGGUAGCGACUACCGCAUACCAUCAGAUGUGCCCAGAGGGGAUUAGCUAGUAGGUGGGGUAACGGCUCACCUAGGCGACGAUCCCUAGCUGGUCUGGGAGGAUGACCAGCCACACUGGAACUGAGACACGGUCCAGACUCCUACGGGAGGCAGCAGUGGGGAAUAUUGCACAAUGGGCGCAAGCCUGAUGCAGCCAUGCCGCGUGUGUGAAGAAGGCCUUCGGGUUGUAAAGCACUGUCAGCGGGGAGGCGUUACCCGCACAAGAAGCACCGGCUAACUCCGUGCCAGCAGCCGCGGUAAUAC